CCCCAGGACACGUGGCAGCGUGUUAGUGGCCAAAAGCAGGGCGCGUGCAUCACACGCACCGACAGACGCGCGUGGUAGUUGCUUGAUGACGCGGAGAGAGAAAUUUCUGAAAAAGGCAGGCCACGUGUCAUGAUCUGACUGGCUGCGUUAAUUUUUUUCCAUUUUAUACUUUAAACUCGAUUAUUUCGUCGUAAAUUAAUUUUUUAUUUUUUAAUUUUUAUACCAAAAUUCAUAAUUUUUUUUUCUCUACAAAUAGAGACUUGGUUUGUUN
rnacentral:lncRNA from 1 species